CAGCAGCCGCGGUAAUACAGAGGGUGCAAACGUUGUUCGGAAUCACUGGGCGUAAAGCGCAUGUAGGCGGCUACGUAAGUCGGACGUGAAAUCCCACGGCUCAACCGUGGAAGUGCGCUCGAAACUGUGUAGCUUGAGUUCUGGAGAGGAAGACGGAAUACUUGGUGUAGAGGUGAAAUUCGUAGAUAUCAGGUAGAACACCAGUGGCGAAGGCGGUCUUCUGGACAGAAACUGACGCUGAGAUGCGAAAGCGUGGGGAGCAAACAGGAUUAGAUACCCUGGUAGUCCACGCCGUAAACGAUGGGUGCUAGGUGUGGGGGGUGUCAACUCCCUCCGUGCCGAAGCUAACGCAUUAAGCACCCCGCCUGGGGAGUACGGCCGCAAGGCUAAAACUCAAAGGAAUUGACGG
rnacentral:rRNA from 1 species